GCAGUGGUGGUUCAGUGGUAGAAUUCUUGGCUUCCAUGUGCAAGGCCCAGGUUCGAUUCCCGGCCAAUGCA
rnacentral:tRNA from 1 species